rnacentral:misc_RNA from 1 species
CAAGUUCUUUUUGUUUUGUUUCGUGUAGUAUCUAUCGAGAUAAGUCCAUCAAAGUUGAAUGCGAGAGCCUUUUGCAACGAAUCAAAAUCAACAAGACGUGGAAAGAAAAAGAAGAAGAUGUCGGUUGAAGAGAAGAUAAGCUCGACUCCAUUGUAAACUAAUACAUGGCGAGGAUUUUGCAUUCUCGGCUCGUUAAACCAGAUCAACAAUGAUGUACUAGUCUGCAGAUAAUAUUCGUGAUGCUGAAAGGGAAGACAAAAAGCUUUGACAGCAAGAGGGGAAAAAGGCAUUUCAAGAAGCGAGUAUAUUUAUAGACACCCAGCAUGAAGAAUCCUAUUGGUGAAUUGAUACUCAACUUCAUCGGUAUAGAUAAAUUGAUUUGAUGAAAUGGAGAAGAGUGCUGCAUCUUUCCUCCCUCUUCUCCUUUGAAUGAAAACUAAAAAGUGUUUUUUAGUCGAACUAAUGAGAUGAAAACUUUGUAUCAUUGCAGGAAACGUUUACUGGCAGAACAAAAAGCCCAGUUCAGUGAAAAGCCAUUUUGCCAUCUCAUAGACAUGCCAUCUAUAUACUUGGAAUUAUUGGCGAAAUAAAUGUGUAGGAGUCACUUUCUUCCUUCCACGUCGCAUCAAGUUAAGAAGACGGAGCUGUUGCUGCUUGUCGCUACGGUUCCAUUCAAUUACGACGCCAUUAGCAUUCGACUCGGGCGGCGCAAAGGUAUAGGCAGUGAUUUUUUCAACAUCUCCGACGACGUGCUUUGCAGCUCCUUAUCAAAAGAGUUGCCCUGGGCGACCCGCGUUCAGCCUGGCAGCAGCCUAAUAAGCCUCCUUGAGCUCGAGUGGAAAUUUAGCCGGCCUCUUUCUAGCUCUUUGGCUCCUUAUUUAUUGGCGAUGGAAGCAAAUAAAAGUAGGAAGAAAUUCCCUUCCAACCGCCAGCGCAGAGCGCGGAGCCUUGAAGGAUCGACGGUAUACGAGUUGGAAAAGGCCAUCACCAUCGGCCAUUACGACGGCAGGAUGUCGGUCGAGAGGAAAUGGGAAACCCUAUUACACACACUAGGAAACCAUCGGAAUGACGCUGGGGGAUGGUCAACGUCGGGCAUAUCGAAUCUCGUCCAGCUCCUCUUUGAUCCGCUUCUCCGCAUCCCCACGAUUGACGUGAGGAACGAGCGGGAGCAAAAAUUUUGAUUUUCCCGUGUCGUCGAGGUGUUUGUUCUUCCUACACAUCGUUCCUGUCGGGAUUCUCACACUCGGCGGAAGGAAAGACAACAACAACCCCCCAAAAUAAAAAUGAAGAAAAUGGCAGCGCCGGCGCAGUUGACAUUACUCCUCCUCCCUUUCCCUUUGGGGUUGGAAGUUUGUAUCUGGCUGGUUCUUCUUCUUCUUCUUUUCUCUCGGCGACGAUGAUGGUGAUAUCCCCGUCCACACACACACACGGGAAAAGAGAAAAGAAACGGUCGGGUAGGAGAGGCUGAGAGGAGCGCGCAGCAUCCCAGUCCCGGAAUAUCCGCGACUGCACGCACCUUGCGAGCGGGUAGUCGGUUGGCGUAAGGUUAGUGGUUUGGUGCUGGCUGGGCUGGUUGCGAGAGAGAGAGUUGAAGCGGAUGACCGGACAAGUGGAGACAUCCGGAGAACAAGAUCCUCGUCGCUGCCACCAGCCAUGAAGAAGAAAUUAUUGUGUCGCUCCUGGCGAUGGCUGAGGCUGUCGGCCGCCGUGUUUUUCGUGAUGGUGACGGCCGCCUCCGGCCAGUUGGCCUUCACUUUCCAGCAGAACCACCCGCCGCAGCCGCAGCAGCCGGAGCGGGAGAGCGAGUACGCCCACCACCUGAUCCGCAUUCCGGGCGACAUUGUCUUUGGCGGAUUGUUUCCCAUGCACGAGCACCUGGUGCUGACGGACCACGGCGGCGGAGGAGGAGGAGCGGCUGGCGCGGCUGCCGGACUCGGCGGCGGUGGCCUGGAAUUCCCCUGCGGAGCCAUCAAGGAGGAGAAGGGCAUCCAGCGACUGGAAGCCAUGCUCUACGCCCUGGAUCUCAUCAACGACGACCCGCACAUCCUGCCCAACAUCACCAUCGGCGCCGUCAUCCUCGACACUUGCUCCAGCGACACUCACGCCCUCGACCAGUCGAUGGAAUUCGUCCGAUCCUACAUGAACAAGGACGCGUCCGAGUACCAGUGCGAAUCGGGAGACGCUCCGCGCUACGUGCCCCACAAGCCCAUCACGGGCGUGAUUGGUGCCAGUUUCUCGACAGAGUCCAUCAUGGUGGCCAACAUCCUCCGCCUCUUCAAGAUUCCGCAAAUCAGCUACGCUUCAACUAGCGCCGAACUGUCUGACAAGUCGCGUUUCGAGUAUUUCAGCCGCGUCGUCCCGCCCGAUAACUUCCAGGCCCAGGCCCUUGUGGAAAUGGUCCGCCAACUCGGCUGGAAGUACGUCUCCACCGUGGCCGUCGAAGGCGACUACGGAGAAAAGGGUAUCGCUUCGUUCGUGACGCUGGCCGAGGCCGCCGGAAUUUGCAUCGCCGUGUCGGAGAAGAUUCUGAGACGGGCGGAAGACGCCGAUUACGAUCGCAUCAUCGAGCGGCUCUCGCAGAAAUCCAGCGCCCGCGGAGUUGUCAUGUUCGCCGACGAGGACGAAACCAGGCGGAUGUUGGCGGCCACGAUGCGUCUGAACAAGACGGGCCAAUUCCUUUGGGUCGGCAGCGACUCGUGGGGAGCUAAAUUGCAUCCGGUGCGCGAUCAAGAGUUUGCAGCCGAAGGAGCCAUUACCAUCCUGCCCAAAAGAUCCUCAUUGGCCGGAUUCGACGCUUAUUUCAAAGCUCUCCGACCCAAGACGGCCAAAGUGUGCGGCAGUGUCGGCGGCGGAUCGGCUAAUCACAACGGAGGCGGAGGUGGUGGCGGACCGGCUGGCGGAUUCGCGUCAGGUGCGGCCAGUGCCAACGCCAGCGGCAACGGCGAGAAUCAAUACUAUCGCAACGCUGUCAAGGGCUCGAGGAUCUACAACUGCCGCAAUCCGUGGUUCCGCCAAUUCUGGGAACAGCAUUUCAAAUGCAGGUUCAAUUCCAGCGCAUCCGCAUCCGGACAUUCUUCGUCAACUUUGCCCGAAUGCAAAGGCGGAGACAAGCUCACCUACUACGAGCAAGAGGGACUGGUGCCUUUUGUCGUGGAUGCCGUUUACGCCAUGGCGCACGCCGUUCACCGGAUGAUCGCCGACGUCUGCGGACACGACGCCCGCGAGCUCUGCGACGAGCUCAAACCGGCGCCCUCCGGCAGAAACUUGCUCAAGUACAUCAGAAACGUCAAUUUUAUCGGUCCUCAGGGUCAGCCGGUCCGGUUCAACAAGGACGGCGACGCCUACGGCAGCUACAGCUUCUAUCAGUAUCAGCGUCACGGCAGCAAGUACGACUACGUGCGCAUCGGUGAUUGGAGCGCUUCGUUGGUCCUCAAUAUGAGUAUGCUGGCCUGGCCCAAUAGCACCAGAGGGACCAUCCCCAGGUCCAUUUGCAGCGACUCGUGCCCCAACGGCUACAUCCGAAACUUCCAGGAUCAAUGCUGCUGGAGUUGCGUGUCGUGUCGCGAGGAUAGCUACUCGUUCAACGACACAUGCGUGGCCUGCGCUCCUGGCUACGCUCCCAAUCGCGACUACAACGGAUGCGAUAAGAUUCCGGCCGAGCAUUUGACCUGGGACAGCCCCUGGGCCAUUGUUCCGCUUGUUUUCACGGCCCUGGGCGUCACGGCCACCCUCUUCACUCUCACCGUCUUCUUGCGUUAUAACAGCACUCCGAUGAUUAUGGCGUCCGGAAGGGAAUUGUGCUACCUGCUGCUGACUGGUAUCCUCCUCUGCUACUUGAUGGCCAUCCCGAUCCUGGCCAAGCCCAACGUGUUCACCUGCAGCCUCCUGCGCGUCGGCCUGGGCUUCGCCCUCUGCCUCUGCUACAGUUCCAUCCUGACCAAGACGAACCGGAUCUCUAGGAUCUUCAACCGCGGGUCCAAGGCCGGCAUCAAGCGGCCGUCGUACACGUCGCCCAAGUCGCAGAUCGUCAUCUGCUGCGGCCUGGCCUCGAUCCAGCUGGGCGGCAGCCUGGUCUGGCUCAUGUUCGAGCGGCCCAGCACCAAGGAGGUGCACCCGCAGCCGCUGACGGCCAUCCUGACGUGCGGCGUCAGCAAUUUGUCGCUGGUUCUCUCGCUCCUCUACAACAUGCUCCUCAUCAUCCUGUGCACUUUCUACGCCUUCAAGACCCGCAAGAUCCCCGAGAACUUUAACGAGGCCAAGUACAUCGGCUUCACCAUGUACAGCACCUGCAUCGUCUGGCUGGCCUUUGUGGCCAUCUACUUUGGCACCUACAACGACUACAAGAUCCAAACGGCCACUCUAUGCGUUUGCGUCAACAUUAGCGCAUCAGUAGCCCUGGGCUGUCUCUUUGUCCCAAAGGUGUACAUCGUCCUCUUCCAGCCGUACAAGAACGUCCGCACGCCCGGAAGCGGGGUUCAACGAAGUGGAGAUCACCGGGGGUUGAACAAGUUCAGCACCAGCGGCGGGGUGAGCGUGGGCGGCGGCGGCGCUGCAACUCCCAGCAACAGCCAGCAGCCGUUGGCCAGCAGCAUUAGCCAUCCGCCGGCGACUUUGAGCAGCGCCACUCAGUCGAUGACGUCGCUCAGUCGCUUUACUAAUCCCACCACACCGACGGCGGCGACGGCCAGCGGUGGUGGCGGUGGAGCUUCUUCUUCCUCCCAUAACAUGGCCAUUUCCACCAUUUCACUGGGCAGCGCCACAGUGGCCGUCCAGGCCAACGGGUCGGACAUGAGUCGAGCCGAGGCCGAACGAGAUUCCAAUAAUCUCAGCUAGGGAAGGUGCGAGGUGCUGCUCUAAAUUCAAAUCAACGGCCAGGAAAAAGUUGAAAAAAUCUCAUCUAUAGACAUUUCAGAUAAACAAAACUUUUGACAUUAUCAGAUGGCGGCACCUCGACACAUUCUCAGCAGCUAAGACUUUUUCUUCUUUUUUUUUUAAAAAUUAUCUUUUAUUCAUUUCGAUUGGUAAUUUGAUCAGAAAUGGGUUUCUUUCCUCUCUCCUCCUGCAUCCGUCCUCGUGCGAUCCCCCACUAUUUUCGGCGUUCAUUUCAAAACCCGGUGAUCUCUCUUAAGUUAACAAUUAAUUUCGAAUUGAUUUUUUGGGUUUUCCAUAUUUAAAAAAGUUUAUGUAAUUGAAGUUUUAAAAAAUAAUAAUAAUGUUGUACAUAAUUAAAGCUGUCGGUAUUGAGGAUUUGACAUGACCUUUGUGGGUGGUUCUGUCUCGGCAAUCGAGUCCCGCAACUCUUUCCCAAAUUUUCAAAAGGACCGCGGAAUUUGUUUUAUUCUCUGAAAUUCAAAUUGAAUAAAAGAAAAAAACAAUUAACGACCGUCCCGGAAGGAAUUGAAAAGGUGUUGCGGGAUGAUUGACUGAGCCCCCUUUGCCGAGACAGGAUCACACAGACAGGAUUGAUUCAAUCAUUUUUUUAAAUUUAAUUUCUGUUUAAACUGAAAAAAAUAUAUCACCGUCAGCCAAAGGGAUAAAAAAUAAAUCAUUCGCUGUUGAUAUGAAAUGAAUUUUAAAAGGGUUCGUUGUUAUUCCUAAAAAAAAAUGAAUCAUUCUUAUGUGUGUUGUUAACUAUCAUCAAUAAGAGAAAAAAUUCCUUGUAUCGAUUUCCCCCACCCACCCUACUCAGCACCGUCUACCCACCCCCAGUUGUAAUAAUGUUAAAUCAAUUCAAUAAUUCAUUUCUCUUUCUCUCUCGUCUUAUUGACUCGGUUAAACUAAAUUGGACUCGCUCGCCGUUGCUUUUGUGUGUGUAAAUAAAAGAGAGGACUUAUCUGGACAAGAUGUAAUCCUGUACUAUAUACAUAUAUAUAUGCUACAUACAUACAAAUAUAAAUUAAUUUCUAUAUUAUAAUAUUUAA